UACGUAGGGUGCGAGCGUUAAUCUGAUUUACUGGGCGUAAAGCGUGCGCAGGCGGCCCGUUAAGACAGGUGUGAAAUCCCUGGGCUCAACCUAGGAAUUGCGCUUGUGACUGGCGGGCUCGAGUACGGUAGAGGGGGGUGGAAUUCCUGGUGUAGCAGUGAAAUGCGUAGAGAUCAGGAGGAACACCGAUGGCGAAGGCAGCCCCCUGGGCCUGUACUGACGCUCAUGCACGAAAGCGUGGGGAGCAAACAGG
rnacentral:rRNA from 1 species